rnacentral:lncRNA from 1 species
GCAGAACUUCUUUUACGCGGUGGAUCUCGGCGAUGAUCAGCGAGUGAAGAAUGUGUUUUGGGUGGAUGCGAAGAGCAGGGGCAGCUAUGUUAGUUUCUGUGAUGUUGUUUCUCUUGAUACUACCUACGUGAGAAGCAAGUACAAGACGCCGCUUGCUGUUUUCGUCGGUGUGAAUCAACACUAUCAGUACAUGGUCCUUGGGUGCGCUUUGCUAUCCGACGAGAGCGCAGCUACGUUCUCUUGGUUGAUGGAGACGUGGCUGAAAGCAAUGGGUGGACAGGCUCCAAAGGUUUUGAUCACUGAGCAAGAGGCGGUAAUGAACUCCAUCGUUCCUGUAAUCUUCCCAAACACUCGGCAUUGCGUUUUCCUCUGGCAUGUGUUGGUUAAAGUCUCUGAGAAUCUUGCCCACGUUGCUAAGCAGCAUGAAGAUUUUAUGCCAAAGUUUGAGAAGUGCAUUUAUAAAUCAUGGAAGGAGGAAGACUUUGCGAGGAGAUGGUGGAAGAUUCUUGCUAAAUUCGGCCUCAAGGAAGAUCAGUGGAUGCAGUCUUUAUACGAAGACCGGAGGAAAUGGGCGCCGACCUACAUGACUACAUAAUAAAAAGUAUAGCAUACCAUAUUUACUAUAUGUCACCAUUUAAACGAUAACUAAAAUUAUUUGUUUUACAUUAACCGCAGUUAUUACAUAAUAUACAUUUUUAUAUGAAUUACACUUAAACGAUACCGUAUUAUCUAUUUUUUUUAUUUGCAUUAUAUAAUAAAUUGUUCCUAUAAAAAGUAUACAUGUAUUAUAUAUCAACCACAUUUAUUAUACAAUAUACGUUUUUUUUUGUUACAAACCACACUUAAACGAUACCGUAUUAUCUAAUCCGCUUAUCCGCACCGUCCAAUAAAUAGUCACCAUACCAACCAAACAUGGUGCUGCCUCUAGACAGAGAGAAACCCUAGAAACCAAAAGAAAAAGAGAAGCAAUCGUGCCUCCUCCUUCUCCGACCACUCGCUUCCUCAGAUCGCGUGAACAUCACUCGAUUUCUCUCUUCUCUCCCUAUCAUCUCGCAGAUCCAAACCCCAACUCGCACCAAUCAGCGCGUGCCUCCUCCCUCCUCCCUCCUCCUUCUUCCUCUUCCUCCUCGCGACUAGAUUUCAGAUUGGUCUUUCCGAUUAUCCGCCUUGUUCUCCAAUCUCCGCACGAGGUAACUCCAUUCCAUCUUCUUACAGUUGAACUGCUCUCCUCGUCUCGAUCAGUUACUGCAAUUAGAUUCUGUAAUAAAAAAGAACAUGCCUUGAUGUAAUAACGAAUCACUACCUUCAACUACUUUUUUUAGAAACUAAUAAUGUGUAAUGUGUUUUGACUUAAACUCAACGAAAUGUUACAGUGCUUGUCAAUGGACAUAGAUCUUCGUCUACAUUCAGGUGACCAAGGCGAUGAUUCAGCCAGGGGACUUGACAACGUCCUGCACAACUCAGACAUAGACAUUGGCAAGAUCGAGGAAGAUGUCAUGGCCGCUACAACCGGAGAAUUGGUCGACUACACAGAAACCGUCAACCUCGAACCACUUAACGGCAUGGAGUUCGACUCACACGGCGAAGCGUACGCCUUCUACCAAGAGUACUCACGUGCCAUAGGGUUCAACACCGCGAUACAGAACAGUCGUAGGUCCAAGACCACGAGGGAGUUUAUUGACGCUAAGUUCGCUUGCUCUAGGUACGGUACUAAAAGAGAGUAUGAGAACAAGUCCUGUAACAGGCCGAGAGCUAGGCAGAGCAAGCAGGAUCAUCCUGAGAGUAAUAUGGCUGGUGGUUGUAGGAGGACUUGCGCGAAAACCGAUUGUAAAGCGAGUAUGCAUGUUAAGAGAAGGUCUAAUGGGAAGUGGGUGAUUCAUAGCUUCGUGAGGGAGCAUAACCACGAGCUUGUGCCUGCGCAAGCUGUGACUGAACAGGCGAGGAGGAUCUACGCUGCUAUGGCUAAGCAGUUCGCUGAGUACAAAACUGUCGUCGGGUUAAAAAGUGAUGCGAAGAGUUUAGGUCGGAGUUUGUCAGUGGUGGAGACAGGAGAUUUCAAAGCUCUGCUUGAGUUCUUGUCGCGGAUGCAGAACUUCUUUUACGCGGUGGAUCUCGGCGAUGAUCAGCGAGUGAAGAAUGUGUUUUGGGUGGAUGCGAAGAGCAGGGGCAGCUAUGUUAGUUUCUGUGAUGUUGUUUCUCUUGAUACUACCUACGUGAGAAGCAAGUACAAGACGCCGCUUGCUGUUUUCGUCGGUGUGAAUCAACACUAUCAGUACAUGGUCCUUGGGUGCGCUUUGCUAUCCGACGAGAGCGCAGCUACGUUCUCUUGG